rnacentral:sRNA from 1 species
UAAUAAACCUUAUUGAAGCGAUAUCCUUUUGAGCCCUUCAGCGAAAAAGAUAAAGUGGAAAGAAGGGCUGAGG